AGAAAAUCCACCGCGGUUAACCAAAUCAAAUUAACAAAAGCCCUCAAGUGUUUGAUUUGCGUAAUAAGAUUCAAGUGCAGGCGGAGGUAAUUCCAGCGUUAUAAAUUAUCGAGCGGUCGGUAUUGGAAGUUUGGUCCAGCCACCUAUCUUGGAGGAUGGUAAAACGACCGAAACGUUCUUUCCAGUGGUCGAUCCGGAGACGACGGCACAAACCGCCGUCUACCGAGAGCAUUGCACGGCAACUUAACCUGCUUCAAACACCACAAGGGACAACGCAUCGGAACUGAUGUAUCUAACCCGGAAGGACCGAAUUGCGGCUUCAAUGUUAUGGUCAAGUUCUUCUACCGGUUAUCGGACUAAAUUCGAAAUGUUUCUCUAGUGCAAUUAUUCAGAUAUUCCGAAGGAAAGGCGCUUCUAACUUCACUCGACGGCAAUUGCUCAGAAGGUGUUAAAAAUGUCACCGUGCUAUCGCUGCCGAAUCACUUUUCAUCGUGCAAUCAUCCGGUCGGCAAGACUGCCAAAUCCAAACCCUAAUUUACCAUUAAUUUACACACGUUAAACAGUAAACUGUACUAUCGAUAUUAUAUUUUAAUG